rnacentral:ncRNA from 1 species
GACACUCUGGAGAAUCCCGGCUUGCCGGGUGCCGAAGGGGCAAGGCCGUUCCCGGCCAAUCUCUCAGGCAAAAGGACAGAGG